rnacentral:rRNA from 1 species
GUAACCUUUUAGGAGCUAGCCGUCGAAGGUGGGACAAAUGAUUGGGGUGAAGUCGUAACAAGGUAGCCGUAUCGGAAGGUGCGGCUGGAUCACCUCCUUUCUAAGGAUAUAUUCGGAAC